ensembl:lincRNA Gm26901 predicted gene, 26901
AGAACUGAGCCUUCCGUUUUCCCGCCUCUACCACCCGAAAACUGCCCGGCAAGGGUCUCUCCGCCUUUGUGAGCGCCGCUGUCCCGGGGACCGCGGAUUGGAAGCAGGAAGUCACUGGCCGCGGACAGAAUCUCUCUCUCCUUCCAUCUCAGAAAUGAUGCUGCUUAUGUUUUGAGGCUUUUGCUUUUGUUUUGUUUUUAACAUUUAGUAUGAGGUUGGCUGUCAGUUCUAGCCAAAUCAACCACACAUGAAAAAGAAAUAAAAGGCAUUCUUGAGAGUCUAAAAAGUGAUUCUACUAUACAUCAGCAUUCAGAAAAUGAGAUUGAUACAAGUCUAAUAUCAAGCACAUUAAGCUCAGAAAAAAGAAGUUUCAGAAAUGAAAAAUAAUGAAUGAGUAAAGAAAAGUAACCACUGUAAAUUCUCCUCUUGAAAUGAACAGCUUCCACCUUGCGUUCCUGCCACCACGAUCAGAGAUCAGUCAUACCUACCCCCAUCAUAAUGACUCAAACCCUCUGAAUCAGGAGUCACAAUAAAUAUUUCCUUCCUC